UAUAAGAAGAUUUAAAGAAACAACAGUAAGAGGAAAUAAAAAUAUUAUUAAAAUAAAUAAAAUUAUUUUGAAAAAUCAAGAAAAUUUGAAAUAGAAAUAAAAAGCAAAAAUACAAAGAAAACUGAAAAUGGAAGGAAAUAAAAUACAAGAACUUUCCAAGGAAGGCGCCAGUAAUUUCCAAAAUCAAACGGAAAAUAUUAGUUCAACUGAAAUGAAGUCAACAAAUAAAGCUGUAAUUGUUAAUGUUAAUAUGGUUGGCUGCUACUGAAAAUUCUGGAACAAAGGAACAACAAAAUGGGCCACAAUAAUAUUUGGAAAUUCAUUAUUAUUGAGGACGAUCAAAAUCUUUUAGCUGUGCGCUCCAAAUUAUACGCAAUAUCAUUAGUAAUGGGGUAUAAUAUAUUCUAUGCAACAAUUUAUAUUAUUCGGUUAAUGUUACGUAUACUAUUAACAUGUUUAUUUCAAAAUUAUUUGUGAUUUUGUAACCAAAUAUUCAUCUAAAUCUGUUUUAAAAACAAAAAUGUUUUGCAUAAAAUAUUUUUGCAUUUUUUCAUAAUAGAAUUGAAA